ensembl:lncRNA
GUGAGCUUCAUGCCCCCCCCUUAGCAGCAGGCUCCAAUGUGGGUCAGAAACCUGUAAUAAAGCAAGGGAGGCUGGGCUCCGUUUGGCCAGUCGGCGUGUUUUUCCUGUGUCUUGAAAUGUCCAAAGCAGUGCGCUAAAUUAUUGGGGUCAGCGACUUUGCCUGCUCCCUUGAUUUGUUUGAAGACACACAAGGCCUGUUUGACAUUGAAAGACAUUUUUCUAACACAAGGGUCAUAAAUUCAUGAAGAAAAAAAGAAAACUUUACCGGAUCGACAACCACGAAGGCACCCGGUUGUGCAAUUGAACUUCUUUGAUAUCGAAGGAACAUUUAAUAACGGCAUUUAAACAUCUACCGUAAAAGUUUUACAGAUGUUCACCGGGGCAACACGGCGUGAUUUUUUAUUUUUUAAUUAUUUGCGUGUUAAGAGAGACAGCGGGGUAGCUUUAUAAGGUUAAAGGUGCAUUUAUUUAUUUCCUCUCUCUGCAAGGUGUCUACCUUCCUGGAUGUUAUUAAACAGACAUACUCUCCAUUACAGCAUUGCAGCUAAUCAGCUUAAUGAGGCAAAGAUUGCUGCAGUAAUCAGGCAUCAUUAGGCUUAUGAGUAUUUAUUAUCAACGGCAUGGAUGGAAAACAGAGGUGCCACUUCAUGAUAGCACACAAAGGAAGGGAUUGCACAAUCUGUUUAUUAAUCGCCUGCUGUCAGAGGGCCAGUACACUUCAGUGAUCCGGGUCAUUCUUCAACGCUACGACCUGGCACGGUUGAGAUAGAUCUACUCUCCUUGUUCUGACCUAUACGUUAUGCAUUUCAAAGCUGGCAAAGGAUGCAAAUAAAAGUUCAGGGUGUCACGUAGGGACCCAGAGGCGAGCUCAUUUAGAGUGGGUGUUUGUGUGUGCAAGCAUAAGUGUACAUAUGUAUGCGAGCGUGAGAGCCGAACUCUAUUUGCGUGUCCCUGUGAUGGAUUCCAACCGUGUCUCAUCAUGUUUGCCUUUAAGCUCAGUUUCAUGCUGUUUGGAACCAGUUUUGCCACAAGUCGAGAAUCGUACGCUUUCAUAGAAGUCUCCUUGAUGUUUUCUUGCUGUCUGUUUGCAAGCGAUGCUAUGCUUGUUAAAGAGGCGCAUUUUUCAUGUGCAUCAAAGUUUACUGCUGCAGCACGACAGAAGACCACCAGCGCUCGGCUCAGGAUUUACAAAAGCUUCAGUCUGGAUCCAGAACACCUAAGAAGAGAAGACCCCAACCCCUCAGAGGACCUCAGAGAACCCAGAAACAACAUACAGAACUACCAAAUUUUGCUAUAAGUUUGAUAGCAUCAUAUAAUAAUUGAUGUUAAUAGUGUUCAUUGUCUGUUUGAUUAGAUCUUUAAUUGAUUUUUUCCAUACAUUUCUUCCAUAAGUCCAUCAACUGACAGUCACCACUGACUACUACUAAAUAAUGUAGAAACUUAAUUUUCUGGAAAGUUGCUUUGCAAUGAUUUGUAUCAUGAAAAGCGCUAUACAAAUAAUCUUGAAUUGUACUGAACUGAAUUGAAUCCAAAAUGUAGAUGAGUUUGUUUCUUCAUCAGAACAGAUUUGGCGAAAUGUAGCAUUAUCACUUUCCGUAAGUAUGAGAGUCCAGCACAACAGAUAAAAUCAUCACAUUAAUUCACAAGUAAUCCAUACCAUUCCAGUCCAUCAAUUAAUGGCUUGGGAAGCAGAUAAAUGUGUUUGUAAGAAACAAAUCCACCAUCAGGAUGUUUUAACUUAAAACUAUUGCUUUCAACUAAAAUACAAGGAAUAGUUCAAAGGGACUAUUUUAAUUCCUUACUACGUUUCUGGGCCUUGAACGUGAUAGUUCCCUUGCUGUCUAUGCAGGGUCAUAAUGCCCUCGGAUUUCAUCACAAAUAUCUUAAUGUAUGUUCCAAAGCUGAACAAAAUUCUUACGGGUUUGGAACAACAUGAGGGUGAGUAAUUAAUGACAGAAUUGUCAUUUUUUGGUGAACUGUCCCUUUAAGAAAGUCGCCAUUAUGAAUUAUGGACACAUACUGUAUUUUUGGAAUGUUUGAAGUUAGAACACCUAAUGAUUUGUUUGUUACAAAUAUGCAGCUUUUCACUUCACAAGUUAUUAAUUGAUGGACUGGAUUGGUGGGGAUUACAUGUGGAUUAUUGUGAUGUUUUAUCAGCUGUUUAGACUUUCAUUCUGAUGGCACCCUUUCGCUGCAGAGCAUCCAGUGGUGAACAUGCGAUGUAAUGCUGUAUUUCUUCAGAUCAGAUUUUUGUGUUUUUUGGUUGAACUAUUCCUUUAACUAAUGUUGGUGCUUGACAAUGAAUACACAACAAUGACACUACAUAAAAGCCAAAAUAAUCCAAACAAAUAGGUGAAGAAAUUCAUAAUAGAGGACAUGUGUAAAUUACAAAACUGCACAUUGUUGUCAAUCUCUACAUGGACUUGAUAUGGCAACAAGUAAACAAAUGAAGUUUCUUAUUCCAGUGUGGGUGGAACGUUUUAAGCUUUGUUGUGAUACAACUAGCCCAUGUUAUUUCAUAUCCAAAUCUAAUGCUACAUUUUAACAGCAACAGUAAUAUCUGCCAAAAUAGGCCAAAGGAAUUAAAGUAGUUUGGAUCUAACUUUUAGUUCAACCUUUAGAACUGUAGAAACCUCCUAAUGUUUGUUUUCCAUGCCUUGUCCAGCAAAUUGAAUCAAUACAUAAACUAUGAUACAGCACAUCAUAUUUUUGUCAUCAUCAUUUUGCUGACACCUGCUAUCAUGGGAGGUGAAUGAGCCAGCAAAUUAGGUGCCACAUUGGACCACAUUUUGUUAUUAGAGAUGUCAGUAUUGCAAAGCUGACAGGUUGCUUCAAACUGUCAGCUUUUUGAGUGUCACAGUGGAAUAUCUGAAAGUGCUCACCUUACACUGGACAGAAAUAUAUAAAAAAAAAAGAUUUGUGUGCGAAGCUCAGUAUGAUUGAUUGACUCACUAAUGAAGGUACUUACUUGUCGCCAUAUACUAUCGAUGUAAUAUGCAGAAAGAGUCACUGAGUUUCAGGAAUGAACUUACUAUUGAAUAGCUGACAUUUCAAAUAAACAGCCUAUCUAUCUAUCUAUCUAUCUAUCUAUCUAUCUAUCUAUCUAUCUAUCUAUCUAUCUAUCUAUCUAUCUAUGUAUCUAUCUAUCUAUCUAUCUAUCUAUCUAUCUAUCUAUCUAUCUAUCUAUCUAUCUAUCUAUCUAUCUAUCCAUCCAAAUAUUUGAAAUGCAUUGCUUAAUGCUGCAUAGUUUGGGAAUAAAAAAUGCUGCAUUGUCUGAUUGUCCGUCCGUCUGUCCCAAAUCUGUCAAUUUAUCAUACAAAAAACUUGUUUUUCUUACCAUAUUCAAACACACAAGAAUUUCAAUUAAUUAGAAUUUUACUUUCUUACAUAUAAUUUGAAUUGCAAUUCUGCAUCCUGUUUGCUGUGUCAAGUCCAAUUCAGGAAGUGAAAUGGUAUUUAAAAGAUACUCUCAAUUCAUUUCUAAAUGGUGUCCAACCCUGACUUGAACCAGCCUUGAACAUACCAAACUGGUUUUCAUAAAACUUAGAACAUUCAUAAUACCUAUUUUCUAUGAAAAGACACAUGUAUUUUUGAUAUAAAACACCUUAUAUGUGAUUGCGCCAGUCUUAAUGCCAGUCUCCAACAAAAGCUAUAUGCUAUAAGCUGUCAACUUUCAAAAAGAAGAAUGUCUGAAACACAUGCGUAGGACAUCGAGGCUGAGGUUUUAUAACGAAAAACAUCCAUCAGAAGGACACGCUAAAAUACAGUAUAUCUUCUCCCAUAUUCAUUUCAUCCAGACCUUGUCCACUUUUCUUCAUAACACAGAUAAUACUGUUACUCAGUCAGUGCCGUCCCUCAAACUCUUUUAACUACUGGCAGAAUCAUCCACAAUCAAUUUCUACUUUACAUUAAGCCAUAAUUUAACAGUGAUGUUAAACCAGGAUUGAUCGGUUCCAACAAAACUCAGAAUCCCAGCUAAAGUGGAUGUGUGAUAAGCAUGUGCAGCGAGGUGGAGGUCGUCACUACAUUCAUUGGAACUCUUCAGAAGGGGAAAAAAGAGCGGAGGCCUCUCUCUAGUGUGCCGGCGAAGCGCUCCGCCAUACAUCAUGAAAAACAAGAUGAGUUAAGCACACAGCCACACAGUGUUUCUUGGACAACUGGGAUUGGAAACAAGUUGUGAUUUAUUGGCUGCUAGACACACAGUGCCUUUGACCCAUUUAGACAAAGGAUUUGUUUAUCUUAUCACUGUACAAUAUAUUUUUAUUUAUUUAUUUCCCAACUUACUUUGUCUCACUCUAGUGGGUUACAUGUUUUCAUGUUAAU